rnacentral:lncRNA from 1 species
AGGUUCAGAAAAGGACACUUUUAUUCCCUUUUUUUUUCAUUUUUUUUGAGUGUCUUCUUUGUUCUAUCUCCUUUUCCUUCAGAUAAAUAUAAAACUCCAGAGUAUAUCUUCCCAAGAGUCAAAGAAAAAAAGUUACUUUGAUUAUUUUUCUAUUGAUUUUAAUCUCUUAGAAAGAGAGAAUUUCCUAUUUUUUUCCUUAAAAAAAAUGAAAGUCUCUUGCUCGCAUGCUCAAUUGGUACCCGGAUUCAAUUUAAGUCUUAUUUAA